rnacentral:rRNA from 1 species
CGGCGGACGGGUGAGUAACACGUGGGUAACCUGCCCAAGAGACUGGGAUAACACCUGGAAACAGAUGCUAAUACCGGAUAACAACACUAGACGCAUGUCUAGAGUUUGAAAGAUGGUUCUGCUAUCACUCUUGGAUGGACCUGCGGUGCAUUAGCUAGUUGGUAAGGUAACGGCUUACCAAGGCAAUGAUGCAUAGCCGAGUUGAGAGACUGAUCGGCCACAUUGGGACUGAGACACGGCCCAAACUCCUACGGGAGGCAGCAGUAGGGAAUCUUCCACAAUGGACGAAAGUCUGAUGGAGCAACGCCGCGUGAGUGAAGAAGGGUUUCGGCUCGUAAAGCUCUGUUGGUAGUGAAGAAAGAUAGAGGUAGUAACUGGCCUUUAUUUGACGGUAAUUACUUAGAAAGUCACGGCUAACUACGUGCCAGCAGCCGCGGUAAUACGUAGGUGGCAAGCGUUGUCCGGAUUUAUUGGGCGUAAAGCGAGUGCAGGCGGUUCAAUAAGUCUGAUGUGAAAGCCUUCGGCUCAACCGGAGAAUUGCAUCAGAAACUGUUGAACUUGAGUGCAGAAGAGGAGAGUGGAACUCCAUGUGUAGCGGUGGAAUGCGUAGAUAUAUGGAAGAACACCAGUGGCGAAGGCGGCUCUCUGGUCUGCAACUGACGCUGAGGCUCGAAAGCAUGGGUAGCG